AUACGGAGGGUGCGAGCGUUAAUCGGAAUUACUGGGCGUAAAGCGUACGUAGGCGGUUGGUUAAGUUAGAUGUGAAAGCCCCGGGCUUAACCUGGGAACUGCAUUUAAAACUGACGAACUAGAGUUGAGUAGAGGGGAGUGGAAUUUCAGGUGUAGCGGUGAAAUGCGUAGAGAUCAGAAGGAACACCAGUGGCGAAGGCGACUCCCUGGACUCGAACUGACGCUGAGGUACGAAAGCGUGGGUAGCAAACGGGAUUAGAAACCCUAGUAGUCC
rnacentral:rRNA from 1 species